rnacentral:rRNA from 1 species
UACGGAGGGGGCUAGCGUUGUUCGGAAUUACUGGGCGUAAAGCGCACGUAGGCGGCUUUGUAAGUUAGAGGUGAAAGCCCGGGGCUCAACUCCGGAACUGCCUUUAAGACUGCAUCGCUUGAAUCCGGGAGAGGUGAGUGGAAUUCCGAGUGUAGAGGUGAAAUUCGUAGAUAUUCGGAAGAACACCAGUGGCGAAGGCGGCUCACUGGCCCGAUACUGACGCUGAGGUGCGAAAGCGUGGGGAGCAAACAGG